UGGGGAAUUUUGCACAAUGGGGGAAACCCUGAUGCAGCGACGCCGCGUGAUUUAGAAGGCCUUCGGGUUGUAAAAAUCUUUUCUAUGGGAAGAAAAUGACAGUACCAUAGGAAUAAGGACCGGCUAAUUACGUGCCAGCAGCCGCGGUAAUACGUAAGGUCCGAGCGUUGUCCGGAAUCAUUGGGCGUAAAGCGAGCGCAGGCGGUUAGAUAAGUCUGAAGUUAAAGGCAGUGGCUCAACCAUUGUAGGCUUUGGAAACUGUUUAACUUGAGUGCAGAAGGGGAGAGUGGAAUUCCAUGUGUAGCGGUGAAAUGCGUAGAUAUAUGGAGGAACACCGGUGGCGAAAGCGGCUCUCUGGUCUGUAACUGACGCUGAGGCUCGAAAGCGUGGGGAGCGAACAGG
rnacentral:rRNA from 1 species